rnacentral:rRNA from 1 species
GAUGAACGCUGGCGGCGUGCCUAAUACAUGCAAGUCGAGCGGACGGACGAGAAGCUUGCUUCUCUGAUGUUAGCGGCGGACGGGUGAGUAACACGUGGAUCACCUACUUAUAAGUCUGGGAUAACUUCGGGAAACAGGAGCUAAUACCGGCUGAUAUUUUGAACCGCAUGGUUCAAAAGUUCAAGACGGUCUUGCUGUCACUUAUAGAUGGAUCCGCGCUGCAUUAGCUAGUUGGUAAGGUAAAGGCUUACCAAGGCAACGAUGCAUAGCCGACCUGAGAGGGUGAUCAGCCACACUGGAACUGAGACACGGUCCAGACUCCUACGGGAGGCAGCAGUGGGGAAUCUUCGGCAAUGGGCGAAAGCCUGACGGAGCAACGCCGCGUGAGUGAAGAAGGUCUUCGGGUUGUAAAACUCUGUUAUUAGGGAAGAACAUAUGUGUGAGUAUAUCCGCACAUCUUGACGGUACCUAAUCAGAAAGCCACGGCUAACUACGUG